rnacentral:lncRNA from 1 species
UGCGGGCUUCGAGUCUGAUGAAAACGGCCGAGCUUCAGGAGAUGAAUAUGAUGAUCAGGCAGCAGACUCAGCUAGAGAUGACUAUGAUGAGGGCAAGUCCACGGGACUAAUUGAUGAUGAAACUGAAGAGGAGGAUGGUGGAGACAUGGUGGAUGAAGAGGGUGAAGAGGAUGAUGUGGGUGGUGGACAUGAUUUGGAUGCUUAUAUGGACGAUGACGAUGAUGAUGAGAUGAGAGAUAAUCCGGAGGAUGUCGGGGAUGCAGAAGGGAAUGGAGAUGAAGAUGAGGGAGCAUCAUCAUUUUCUUCGGAGUAC